GUCAUCAGAGAAAAGACACUUCAAGCAAUCCUGUGAUGAAAAGCCUCAUGCAGUCUGUGCAGCAAAUUCCUUAGUGAUGUCCAAAAGCUGAUUCAUUCUUCAAGACUUUGGACUACAGAUGACCAUCUUUUGCUCAGUUAGAAUACUUGAAAGCAUAUGGAUGUUGACGAGAGGAAUUUCAGGAGAAACAUUUAAGUCAGUUUUAAUAAUGUUUGAACAACAAAAUGUUCACCUGGAACAAGGAGCAUCUACACUGUAUGAGAGGAGAUCUGAAGAUUUUCUGCCCACAUGAGUUUGUGGAUGAGCUAAUCAAGCUGACGACCCACAAAGUGAGUUCACAGGACUGAAUCUGUGAUAUCAAAGAACUUUAAUGAUAGAACAAUUGCUGGUUUCCUGUGACUCAGCUCAUGCAAGCUGGUAGGUAGCUCACACAAGGCGACUUAAGGCUAAUCCACUAUAAGCCACAGCAAAGUGUUUGAUGGUUCAAAGUGACUACAGGCUGAUCCUCUUUAGCUACUCACACUGGGAUGAGAAAGGCACACUUGUCUUAAGAGAUUUUCUAUUUCAUCAAUUAAAAGACUCCUACAUGGAGUUUAAUUGCAUUAAAUUGCAAAACUGCUAAUACAUUGUCAACAGAUAUUUCUAAAAAAAAACAAAAAAAAAACUAUAUUAUACUAAUAUAUCUAAUUAUACAGUAAAUGUUGUUUUGAUGAUACUGAAUACAUUGUCUAACCAUUCUUCAGCUAGACCCAGAUGCACGUUUUUGGGCCUAAAGUGAGUAUUAAAUCCUUAUCAGAUCCCAGUUAUCUACAUUAAGCAAUAAUUCACACCUGUAUGCUGGCAUACCUCACAGUUCACUGAGCAUCGUCUUACAUUCCAGAAUUCAUAUGCAGUUUAUGUAAUCAACAUUUUUUAGCUGUAAGGGAUGUAAGCUGCAUGAUCUACUGUAUGAACAAAAAGUGGCAUAUACAUACACUACCAUAUAAAAGUUUGAGGUCAGUAAGUUUUUAUAAAAAAAUGUUUAAGAAAUUAUAACUUUUAUUAAGCAAUGAUGUAUUCAAUUCAUCAAAAGUGAUGGUAAAAAUAUUUAUAUUGUUACGAAAGGUUUAUAUUUCAAAUAAAAGUUGUUCUUUUGCUUUUCUUUUCA
ensembl:lncRNA